AUACGUAGGGAGCGAGCGUUGUCCGGAAUUACUGGGUGUAAAGGGAGCGUAGGCGGGACGGCAAGUCAGGUGUGAAAUUUAUGGGCUUAACCCAUAAACUGCAUUUGAAACUGCUGUUCUUGAGUGAAGUAGAGGUAAGCGGAAUUCCUAGUGUAGCGGUGAAAUGCGUAGAUAUUAGGAGGAACAUCGGUGGCGAAGGCGGCUUACUGGGCUUUUACUGACGCUGAGGCUCGAAAGCGUGGGGAGCAAACAGGAUUAGAUACCCUGGUAGUCCACGCUGUAAACGAUGAUUACUAGGUGUGGGGGGACUGACCCCUUCCGUGCCGCAGCUAACGCAAUAAGUAAUCCACCUGGGGAGUACGGCCGCAAGGUUGA
rnacentral:rRNA from 1 species